UACAGAGGUCUCAAGCGUUGUCCGGAAUUAUUGGGCGUAAAGGGCUCGUAGGCGGUUUGUCGCGUCGGGAGUGAAAUCCACUGGCUUAACUGGUGGCUUGCUUUCGAUACGGGCAGACUGGAGGUAUGCAGGGGAGAACGGAAUUCCUGGUGUAGCGGUGAAAUGCGCAGAUAUCAGGAGGAACACCGGUGGCGAAGGCGGCCUGCUGGGCAGUUGCUGACACUGAGGCGCGACAGCGUGGGGAGCAACAGG
rnacentral:rRNA from 1 species